GUGUCAGCCGCCGCGGUAAUACGGGGGGAGCAAGCGUUGUCCGGAAUCACUGGGCGUAAAGGGCGUGUAGGCGGGCUGGUAAGUCAGAUGUGAAAUCCCACGGCUUAACCGUGGAAUUGCAUUUGAAACUGCCAGUCUUGAGUGCGAGAGAGGGUAGUGGAAUUCCCGGUGUAGCGGUGAAAUGCGUAGAUAUCAGGAGGAAGGCCUGUGGCGAAGGCGGCCCUCUGGCGCUCAACUGACGCUGAGGCGCGAAAGCGUGGGUAGCAAACAGGAUUAGAUACCCUGGUAGUCCACGCCCUAAACGGUGGGCACUAGGUGUGGGGCUCGAGAGGGUUCCGUGCCGAAGGUAAACCAAUAAGUGCCCCGCCUGGGGAGUACGGCCGCAAGGUUGAAACUCAAAUGAAUUGACGGGG
rnacentral:rRNA from 1 species